rfam:Methylophilales bacterium HTCC2181 1100893002543, whole genome shotgun sequence.
GGGGCUGACCAGGUUUCGACGUGGGUUACAAAGCAGAAUAGUGCAUACCGAGGCUUCUAGGUACCUCGUUAAUAAACUAGAAAAACAGUAAUCGCAAAUGACGAUAACUACGCUUUAGCUGCUUAAUUCCAGCUAAACGCUGUCCUGAUAUGUCACUCGCUCAGGUUACAGCGUCAUAUAGAGAGACUCGGGGAUUGUUGGGUUACUUAACAAUCUCCUAAACAUAAGGUAACUCGCUUUUAUAUUUGCUUGCUUGUUGGUGAAGUGAAAGUUAAACAUAAACAACAUAGCUAAGUAUGUAGAUCUAUCUGUAGAGGAUUUGCGGACGGGGGUUCGAUUCCCCCCAGCUCCACCA